GAUGAACGCUGGCGGCGUGCUUAACACAUGCAAGUCGAACGGAAAGGCGCAAGCUUGCUUGGGUACUCGAGUGGCGAACGGGUGAGUAACACGUGGGUGAUCUGCCCUGCACUUCGGGAUAAGCCUGGGAAACUGGGUCUAAUACCGGAUAGGACGAUGGUUUGGAUGCCAUUGUGGAAAGUUUUUUCGGUGUGGGAUGAGCUCGCGGCCUAUCAGCUUGUUGGUGGGGUAAUGGCCUACCAAGGCGUCGACGGGUAGCCGGCCUGAGAGGGUGUACGGCCACAUUGGGACUGAGAUACGGCCCAGACUCCUACGGGAGGCAGCAGUGGGGAAUAUUGCACAAUGGGCGCAAGCCUGAUGCAGCGACGCCGCGUGGGGGAUGACGGCCUUCGGGUUGUAAACUCCUUUCGCUAGGGACGAAGCGUUUUUGUGACGGUACCUUGGGAAGAAGCACCGGCUAACUACGUG
rnacentral:rRNA from 1 species